CAAGCAGAAUCUGAACCUCAACAAACUGAACCUCAACCUCUAAAUCUCAGCCCUCAAAACUCUCCACCUCAUUCACCUGAACCUGAACCUAAAAUUAUCACACCUACCCUUGAGGAGGCCAUUAUACAGGUUGCAGAAGCCUCAGUCCAGAAGAUCAAGUCUCUGGCUAAAAAUUCUGAAGUCAGUGAUGAUCCUAAAUCUGUUAGGACACACUGGAACAGAGUUAUUAGUUGGAUGACCUCUGAGUCUUAUAGGCUGAAGAGUAUCUCUGAACAAGUCAGAAAUGGC
rnacentral:lncRNA from 1 species